GUGAUGGCACAAGUGUUCCCACUCGUGCUGUUGUAUGGUCGUGACCGAAAGGCUCACGAAGGUUUGGGUCAUUCACAUUUCAAGAGAUGAGUGACAAUUGCAUAUGUGCAGC
rnacentral:lncRNA from 1 species